rnacentral:rRNA from 1 species
AACGAACGCUGGCGGCAGGCCUAACACAUGCAAGUCGAACGCUGCAGCAAUGCAGAGUGGCAGACGGGUGAGUAACGCGUGGGAACCUUCCCAAUGGUACGGAAUAGCCCAGGGAAACUUGGGGUACUACCGUAUAAGCCCCAUGGGGGAAAGAUUUAUCGCCAUUGGAUGGGCCCGCGUCGGAUUAGCUAGUUGGUGAGGUAACGGCUCACCAAGGCGACGAUCCGUAGCUGGUUUGAGAGAAUGACCAGCCACACUGGGACUGAGACACGGCCCAGACUCCUACGGGAGGCAGCAGUGGGGAAUCUUGGACAAUGGGCGAAAGCCUGAUCCAGCCAUGCCGCGUGAGUGACGAAGGCCUUAGGGUUGUAAAGCUCUUUUGGCGGGGACGAUAAUGACGGUACCCGCAGAAUAAGUCCCGGCUAACUUCGUGCCAACAGCCGCCGCCG